rnacentral:lncRNA from 1 species
ACCUGAUCCUCGGUAGCGAAGGGCUGGAGGCAAACACCGAGCUCCCCCUGAGCCGCCUGGGAGCAGGGAGGGUUCUGCUACCCUGAGGGGCCCUCCCCGCGGGGCAGAGGGGUUUCCUCAGCAGUGCCCCGGAGCAGGGACCGCGCCAGCCAGCAGAAACAGCUAGUUGUUGUCUGCAGUGAAGAAUAAUUGGAAGCAUGGUGCCUGUUUCUUUUCCUGUGGGAGGAAGUCACAGCAUCUACUUCUGAAUCUGUGCUUGCCUUGAGGAAAAACGGCAUGGCACAGGAAUGUGGACGCUUUCAACCAGAGGAUUCUGUACGACGGUGUCGGCACACAAGGAGUGUUCCACUGACUGACCUCUUUUUGUUUUCAAAUGAAGAGGAGCCAAGAAUAGGACAGCUUGGGAAGGUGAGCUGCGUAUAGCUCGUCAGGCUGAGGUAAAAAUCAUGUUGAAUGUGGAGCCGUUCUUGUUUUAACAAGUCUGUACUUGGCUGAUUAGGGCUUUCAAUAGAAUGCAAAGGACGUGAGAGCAACGACGAGCUGGCUUUAUGUGGGAUCGUCUAAAAAGUUUCUGAGAGCUUUUCUGUUAAUCAUCUUUGUUGAUUUUCAUAAUGGUCUUGUCUUACUUAGCUUUCCUCCACUGUAACAAAAUACCUAAGAUAAUUAACUUAUCAAGAGAGAAGGUUUAUCUUGGCUUUCUGUCAUAGAAGUUCCACUUGGCCUCAGUCUUUGAGCCUGUGCUUAGACGGCACUCUGUGGUAGCAGUGAGAGACUGAGGAAAACUUCCCCCUCAUGUCUAAGAAGCAAAGAGAGAGGGGGGUGAAAGUCCCAUACUCCCUUCUGAGGGCAGUCCCUCAGUGAUCCCACAAUGUCCCACUACCACCUUAUUCUAGCACGACCUUGGAACCAAUUUUUUUUAAUUUAACUUUUUAUUGAUUCUUUGUGAAUCACAUCAUGCACAUUAGUCCCACUAUUCUCCCCGUUCCCUGUAUUUCCUCUCUGCCCUUGCAGCCCCCAUAAAAUAUACAUAGAUAGAGAAAUAAAUAAAUAAAUAAAUAAAUAAAUAAAUAAAA